rnacentral:lncRNA from 1 species
CGGACGAAGUUGGCCACCCCACCCCCCAAGGCUAUAGCCCACCCGUUUUUGUGUGCUUUUACCGCUGGACGAACUUGGCGCCCCGGCCUUCGGGCGGUUUUUUUUGGGCGCGGCUUUGGCCGUGGCCUAUUUUUGGCACACGGAGGACCAUCGCAAAGUCUCGCGGCAUUCCGAGUCCGGCGGACGAAGGUGGCCAGCCCCAGCACCCAAGGCUAUAGCCCACCCGUUUUUGUGGCCUUUUUCCGCUGAUCGAACUUGGCGCCCCGGCCUUCGGGCGGUUAUUUUUCGGUGCGGUUUUGCCCGCGGCCUAUUUUUGGCACACGGAGGCCCCUCAAAAAGUCUCGCGGCAUUCCAAGCCCGGCGGACGAAGUGGGCCAGCCCCACCCCCUAAGGCUAUAGCCCACCCGUUUUUGUGGCCUUUUUCCGCUGGACGAACUUGGCGCCCCGGCCUUCGGGCGGUUAUUUUUGGGCGCGGCUUUGGCCGCGGCCUAUUUUUGGCACACGGAGGCGCUUCGCAAAGUCUCGCGGCAUUCCGAGUCCGGCGGACGAAGUUGGCCAGCCCCACCCCCCAAGGCUAUAGCCCGCCCGUUUUUGUGGCCUUUUUUCGCUGGACGAACUUGGCGCCCCGGCCUUCGGGCCGUUAUUUUUGGGCGCGGCUUUGCCCGUGGCCUAUUUUUGGCACACGGAGACCCCUCGCAAGGUCUCGCGGCAUUCCGAGUCCGGCGGACGAAGUUGGCACGCCCCACCCCCCAAGGCUAUAGCCCACCCGUUUUUGUGGCCUUUUUCCGCUGGAAGAACUUGGCGCCCCGGCCUUCGGGCCGUUAUUUUUGGGCGCGGCUUUGCCCGCGGCCUAUUUUUGGCACACGGAGGCCCCUCGCAAAGUCUCACGGCAUUCCGAGCCCGGCGGACGAAGUUGGCCAGCCCCACCCCCCAAGGCUAUAGCCCACCCGUUUUUGUGGCCUUUUUCCGUUGGACGAACUUGGCGCCCCGGCCUUCGUGGGGUUAUUUUUGUGCCCGGCUUUGCCCGCGGCCUAUUUUUGGCACACGGAGGCCCCUCGCAAAGUCUCCCGGCAUUCCGAGUCCGGCGGACAAAGUUGGCCAGCCCCACCCCCCAAGGCUAUAGCCCACCCGUUUUUGUGGCCUUUUUCCGCUGGACGAACUUGGCGCCCCGGCCUUCGGGCGGUUAUAUUUGGGCGCAGCUUUGCCCGUGGCCUAUUUUUGGCAAACGGAGGCCCCUCGCAAGGUCUCGUGGCAUUCCGAGUCCGGCGGACGAAGUUGGCAAGCCCCACCUCCCCAGGCUAUAGCCCACCCGUUUUUGUGGCCUUUUUCCGUUAGACGAACUUGGCGCCCCGGCCUUCGGGCGGUUAUUUUUGUGCGCGUCUUUGCCCGCGGCCUAUUUUUGGCACACGGAGGUGCAUCAGAAAGUCUCGCGGCAUUCUGAGUCAGGCGGACGAAGUUGGCCAGCCCCACCCCCCAAGGCUAUAGCCCACCCGUUUUCGUGGCCUUUUUCCGCAGGACGAACUUGGCGCCCCGGCCUUCGGGCAGUUAUUUUUUGGCGCGGCUUUGACCGCAGCCUAUUUUUGGCAAACGGAGGACCAUCGCAAAGUCUCGCGGUAUUCCGAGUCCGGCGGACGAAGUUGGCCAGCCCCACCCGCCAAGGGUAUAGCCAACCCGUUUUAGUGGCCUUUUUCCGCUGGACGAACUUGGCGCCCCGGCCUUCGGGCGGUUAUAUUUGGGCACGGCUUUGCCCGCGGCCUAUUUUUGGCAAACGGAGGCCCCUCGCAAGGUCUCACGGCAUUCCGAGUCCGGCGGACGAAGUUGGCAAGCCCCACCCCCCAAGGCUAUAGCCCACCCGUUUUUGUGGCCUUUUUCCGCUGCACGAACUUGGCGCCCCGGCCUUCGUGGGGUUAUUUUUGUGCCCGGCUUUGCCCGCGGCCUAUUUUUGGCACACGGAGGCCCCUCGCAAAGUCUCCCGGCAUUCCGAGUCCGGCGGACAAAGUUGGCCAGCCCCACCCCCCAAGGCUAUAGCCCACCCGUUUUUGUGGCCUUUUUCCGCUGGACGAUCUUGGCGACCCGGCCUUCGGGCGGUUAUAUUUGGGUGCAGCUUUGCCCGCGGCCUAUUUUUGGCAAACGGAGGCCCCUCGUAAGGUCUCGUGGCAUUCCGAGUCCGGCGGACGAAGUUGGCAAGCCCCACCCCCCAAGGCUAUAGCCCACCCGUUUUUGUGGCCUUUUUCCGUUGGACGAACUUGGCGCCCCGGCCUUCGGGCAGUUAUUUUUGUGCGCGGCUUUGCCCGCGGCCUAUUUUUGGCACACGGAGGCCCCUCGUAAAGUCUCGCGGCAUUCCGAGCCCGGCGGACGAAGUUGGCCACCCCACCCCCCAAGGCUAUAGCCCACCCGUUUUUGUGUCCUUUUACCGCUGGACGAACUUGGCGCCCCGGCCUUCGGGCGGUUUUUUUUGGGCGCGGCUUUGGCUGUGGCCUAUUUUUGGCACGCGGAGGACCAUCGCAAAGUCUCGCGGCAUUCCGAGUCCGGCGGACGAAGGUGGCCAGCCCCAGCACCCAAGGCUAUAGCCCACCCGUUUUUGUGGCCUUUUUCCGCUGAUCGAACUUGGCGCCCCGGCCCUCGGACGGUUAUUUUUCGGUGUGGUUUUGCCCGCGGCCUAUUUUUGGCACACGGAGGCCCCUCAAAAAGUCUCGCGGCAUUCCGAGCCCGGCGGACGAAGUUGGCCAGCCCCACCCCCCAAGGCUAUAGCCCACCCGUUUUUGUGGCCUUUUUCCGCUGGACGAACUUGGCGCCCCGGCCUUCGGUCGGUUAUUUUUGGUCGCGGCUUUGUCCGCGCCCUAGUUUUGGCACACGGAGGCCCCUCACAAUGUCUCGCGGCAUUCCGAGUCCGGCGGACGAAGUGGGCCAGCCCCAACCCCCAAGGCUAUAGCCCACCCGUUUUUGUGGCCUUUUUCCGCUGGAAGAACUUGGCGGCCCGGCCUUCGGGCGGUUAUUUUUAGGCACGGCUUAGCCCGCGGCCUAUUUUUGGCACAUGGAGGCCCCUCACAAAAUCUCGCUGCAGUCCGAGUCCGGCGGACGAAGUCAGCCAGCCCCACCCCCCAAGGCUAUAGCCCACCCGUUUUUGUGGCCAUUUUCCGCUGGACAAACUUGUAGCGCGGCCUUUGGGCGGUUAUUUUUGGGCGUGGCUUUGCCCGCGGCCUAUUUUUGGCACACGGAGGCCCCUCGAAAGUGUCGCGGCAUUCCGAGUCUGCCGGACGAAGUGGGCCAGCCCCAACCCCCAAGGCUAUAGCCCACCCGUUUUUGUGGCCUUUUUCCGCUGGACGAACUUGGCGCCCCGGCCUUCGGGCGGUUAUUUUUGGGCGCGGCUUUGCCCGCAGCCUAUUUUUGGCAAACGGAGGCCCCUCGCAAGGUCUCGCGGCAUUCCGAGUCCGGCGGACGAAGUUGGCAAGCCCCACCCCCCAAGGCUAUAGCCCACCCGUUUUUGUGGCCUUUUUCCGUUGGACGAACUUGGCGCCCCGGCCUUCGUGGGGUUAUUUUUGUGCACGGCUUUGCCCGCGGCCUAUUUUUGGCACACGGAGGCCCCUCGCAAAGUCUCCCGGCAUUCCGAGUCCGGCGGACAAAGUUGGCCAGCCCCACCCCCCAAGGCUAUAGCCCACCCGUUUUUGUGGCCUUUUUCCGCUGGACGAACUUGGCGCCCCGGCCUUCGGGCGGUUAUAUUUGGGCGCAGCUUUGCCCGUGGCCUAUUUUUGGCAAACGGAGGCCCCUCGCAACGUCUCGUGGCAUUCCGAGUCCGGCGGACGAAGUUGGCAAGCCCCACCCCCCAAGGCUAUAGCCCACCCGUUUUUGUGGCCUUUUUCCGUUGGACGAACUUGGCGCCCCGGCCUUCGGGCAGUUAUUUUUGUGCGCGUCUUUGCCCGCGGCCUAUUUUUGGCACACGGAGGUGCAUCGGAAAGUCUCGCGGCUUUCUGAGUCAGGCGGACGAAGUUGGCCAGCCCCACCCCCCAAGGCUAUAGCCCACCCGUUUUCGUGGCCUUUUUCCGCAGGACGAACUUGGCGCCCCGGCCUUCGGGCAGUUAUUUUUUGGCGCGGCUUUGACCGCAGCCUAUUUUUGGCAAACGGAGGCCCAUCGCAAAGUCUCGCGGUAUUCCCAUGCCGGCGGACGAAGUUGGCCAGCCCCACCCGCCAAGGGUAUAGCCAACCCGUUUUAGUGGCCUUUUUCCGCUGGACGAACUUGGCGCCCCGGCCUUCGGGCGGUUAUAUUUGGGCACGGCUUUGUCCGCGGCCUAUUUUGGCAAACGGAGGCCCCUCGCAAGGUCUCACGGCAUUCCGAGUCCGGCGGACGAAGUUGGCAAGCCCCACCCCCCAAGGCUAUAGCCCACCCGUUUUUGUGGCCUUUUUCCGUUGGACGAACUUGGCGCCCCGGCCUUCGGGCAGUUAUUUUUGUGCGCGGUUUUGCCCGCUGC